CCUACGGGGGGCAACAGUGAGGAAUAUUGGUCAAUGGUCGGGAGACUGAACCAGCCAAGCCGCGUGAGGGAUGAAGGUACAGAGUAUCGUAAACCUCUUUUGUCAGGGAACAAAGGCGGGGACGUGUCCCCGGAUGAGUGUACCUGAAGAAAAAGCAUCGGCUAACUCCGUGCCAGCAGCCGCGGUAAUACGGAGGAUGCGAGCGUUAUCCGGAUUUAUUGGGUUGAAAGGGUGCGCAGGCGGUUUGUUAAGUCAGCGGUAAAAGCCCGGGGCUCAACCCCGGCCCGCCGUUGAAACUGGCAGUCUCGAGUUGGAGAGAAGUAUGCGGAAUGCGCGGUGUAGCGGUGAAAUGCAUAGAUAUCGCGCAGAACUCCGAUUGCGAAGGCAGCAUGCCGGCUCCACACUGACGCUGAGGCACGAAAGCGUGGGUAUCGAACAGGAUUAGAUACCCUUGUAGUC
rnacentral:rRNA from 1 species